rnacentral:rRNA from 1 species
UACGUAGGGGGCAAGCGUUGUCCGGAAUCAUUGGGCGUAAAACGCUUGUAGGCGGCCACCGCGCGUCGGACGUGAAAUCUCCCGGCUCAACUGGGAGGGGUCGUGCGAUACGGCGGGGCUCGAGGCCGGUAGGGGGACGCGGAAUUCCCGGUGUAGUGGUGGAAUGCGUAGAUAUCGGGAGGAACACCAGUGGCGCAGGCGGCGUCCUGGACCGGCACUGACGCUGAGGAGCGAAAGCGUGGGGAGCGAUCCGG